CGGAUAGAGCUAGCGAAGUCGUUUGUAUUCAGCCAAAGGCUCGUGGUCGCCUGGCGUCGUGUUGCUAAUCACACUCGGCGUUUGUCCGGCUGCGGGCUGAGGUGCAUUUGCGGACGUAUGCGCUGAGACUUGUGGGGCAGCUGCUGGACCCGUACACUAGAGGCCGUCCUCUGGAUGGAACCUGGUCGCGGCGACGGCUGUUUGCCUUGCUCGUAGAUGGUACGGCCUACGGACCUUGCCUGUGUCGUUGUCUCUUUGCGGUGGUAUCGCAUGCGAUGCCUAGCAUUGGGGCUUCGAUUCGGUCCGGUGUUCCCGUGCCUGUUCUCGGUGUAGAAGCUGGUCAUCUCUCCGACCCGUCUUGAAACACGGACCAAGGAGUUUAGCGUAUGCGCGAGUCAUUGGGUGUUCAAAACCCAUAGGCGCAAUGAAAGUAAAGGCUCGUUCGGCGGGCUGACAUGCGAGUGCUUGGGCUUCGGCCCCGGCAUGCAGCAUGGUCCCGUUUCAGUCGCUUGCGACGGAGCGGAGACAGAGCGUAUGCGCUGAG
rnacentral:rRNA from 1 species